ensembl:snoRNA
AACCUCCCAGGAUCGCGUCUGGAGAGUGGCUCGUAUUCUGCCAGCUUCGGAAUCGGGAGGGAGAGCAAAGCCUGCAGAGGUACCCAUUCCAUUCCCAGCUGGCACCGUAGCUGGCGAUUGGAAGACGCUCUGCGACAGUG